AGCGGUAAAAAGAAAAACCGAAGAAAUGGGACAAAAGUAUUAAACCCGUCUUCAAGAUGGGAACAACUAUCCAUAUUCGUAAUGUCAUCAUUCAAAAUAUAAUUUGGCUCUAGAAAUACAAAUUUAACUUUCGAUUGGGCAUAUUCACUGCAUUCCAGGCCGAGGAACUCCCAGUGCAUUAUGUUAUGCUUGACUCUACCUAUACAUGCAUCAAAGAUUAAAGCAGAAGAGGAAGAAAUCGGUUGUUGACUCUAUGAAAAUAUUUGGAAGGACUGCCAUCGGUUUUUCUAUGGGUGGAUUUUUCACCGUAAAGAAAAAUUUUGUCAUCCGAGUGGUAAGUGGAAUGUAUUCGGCAUUUUCAACUCUCAUCGAACUGACUGGUGUGCUUUCUUCAAGGAAAUCUUGUCGAUCAAACUCAACUAUGUUGAACAGUCUGUAGCGUAACACAGAAUUUAAACAUUUGUUAUUCGUGAGGAAAAUUAAUGCAUUUAUAAUUAAUUUACAAAAUAUUUCAAUUUCCUCUUUCUUCUUGUUAAAUUAAUUAAUUUAAUAUUUUAAGUUUUCUUUAUGCAUCAAUUAUAUUGAUAUAUUUAGAAAUUAUUGUUUUAAUUCAUUUGAACUUAAAGAAAAAUUUUGCGUUCAUUGGUGGAAUAUUAUUUUGAUUUCUUGAUUUAAUUGUGUUCUUAGGAUUAACGCGGAAUUGUUUGUAUAUUUUGUGUAAUAUAAUUGCGAUUUAUAGGCCUACACUAAAUCUGGGGUCGGCAACUUUUUUAUUACUUGUUUAUGACGUCGCAUAUUGAAUUUUUGCCAUGUCAUCCGUUACUACAUAGUACGUUAAACUGGAGUCAUCAGUUAUUCACAUUAAAUGACGUCAUACACAGGAGAGUCAACAUAAUUAUGUUGUAAUAAAUAAAAAAAAUAAUUGUGUGUUGAAAUAUGUAAAUUUAUACAAAAUAGAGAUUUUGCAGACAUAAUAACUAAAAAAUCAAAAUUAAAAGUACAUAAAUAAACUAAAAAAAAUUACGUUACAAGAAAUUGUUAUUAUAUGAAUAAAUUUAAUGAGAAAUUUAUGCAUUCGCUUGCAUUUUGAAUUACGUAUGCCUAAAUUUCUUAUACGCAUAAACGGGAACAAUAUACGGAAUGCAUUUGAGAUACGUCGCGUUGCCGACCCCUGCAUUAAAUGAUCACGAAUAAUCACGAUUUAAUUAAUCAAUUUAUUUAUGGCGGGUCUUAAUUUGAUUGAAUGUGGAAUAUUUCAAUGCAUAGUUUGCUCGAUUAAAAUAACUUUUAAAAUAAAAUGAAAUUAUUUUUUGCAUAAAUGAUGAGAAAACAAGUAUAUAAGUUAUUAGUGGAGUGGGAAACAUUUCCUAUUGUACAGUAUUCUGUAGAAUUUCUAGCAUGUUUAAAGAAAAGUAUAAUAUAAUAGACACAAAGGGAGACGCUAUUAACGAAGGGAAACUUGUGAAAUCCAAACUGAUAAAAAUAUAAUAGAAAAAUGAAAUUAUUAUCUGAAACAUCAACUAAAUAAAAAUGUUUUAAUGAACAUUUCAUCAUUUUAGUUUUGCAUUUGUUGCAACAGUCUCAAAGUGAAUGAUAUCUGGAAUUCCAUAAUGCUGAGUUUUCGACAUUGUGGGCAAUUAAGAGAUGGAGCAAAAAUUAACAAAAUCCAUUGAUUUACGAAAAAAAAAAAAUUUUGAAAACAAAAAAAAAAAAAAAAAUUAAAUUCAAUUUGAUGUCGAAAAAAAUGAAUCAGUAAA
rnacentral:lncRNA from 1 species